rnacentral:rRNA from 1 species
AUUGAACGCUGGCGGCAUGCCUUACACAUGCAAGUCGAACGGUAGCGGGCCUUCGGGUGCCGACGAGUGGCGAACGGGUGAGUAAUGUAUCGGAACGUACCUUUCAGUGGGGGAUAACGUAGCGAAAGUUACGCUAAUACCGCAUAUUCUGUGCGCAGGAAAGCAGGGGAUCGCAAGACCUUGCGCUGAUUGAGCGGCCGAUAUCAGAUUAGCUAGUUGGUGGGGUAAAGGCUCACCAAGGCGACGAUCUGUAGCGGGUCUGAGAGGAUGAUCCGCCACACUGGAACUGAGACACGGUCCAGACUCCUACGGGAGGCAGCAGUGGGGAAUUUUGGACAAUGGGGGCAACCCUGAUCCAGCCAUGCCGCGUGAGUGAAGAAGGCCUUCGGGUUGUAAAGCUCUUUCGGCCGGGAAGAAAUCGUAUCAGCUAAUACCUGGUGCGGAUGACGGUACCGGCAUAAGAAGCACCGGCUAACUACGUGCCAGCAGCCGCCGUAAUAC